GCCUUUAGCACUGUAGAUUUAAAGCAAAAGACAUUCCAGGAAGUGUGUUAAAAGGGGUGCCAGAUUUUUGUACCACAUAUAUCAUCCAGUGGAAAGGAAAGAUUUCAUCUAUGCGAGCUGCUUCCCGUCCACCCCCGUCUCUCCUAAGCCCAAUGCGUGCACAAAUAAUGCUUCGUGUCUGCAGCCUAUCUGACGCAUCUCAGCCAUCAUUAUUCUCCAGCAACAAUUCCAAAAGUUGGUCAAUUUUCAGAAAUAUUAUUUCUCUGUUUUUUUCUAUACCAUCCAGUCAUAGACUCAUAGAUUCAGUAGUGAGUUUAUUUCUAUGCAGGUUCUUUUUCCGGACAAUCGAAGCCAGGAUCUGAACCAUCUCCAAAUGCCAUGCAAAAUGAGGCAAACUUCAUGAAGUAUGUCACAAUUAGUUCCUCAAAG
rnacentral:lncRNA from 1 species